rnacentral:rRNA from 1 species
CAAUAGCAUAUAUUAACGUUGUUGCAGUUGAAAAGCUCGUAGUUGAACUUUUGGUAGGAGCGACCUGGCCUUGGGCGCAUGCCCUUGUUUGCCGUGUGUCGUAUCUGGCCAUCCUUUUCCGCUUCGGCGGGAAUCCUUUACUGUGAGUAAACUGGAGUGCUCAAAACAAGACGUUUGUUUGGUACAUUAAAGCAUGGAAUAAUAAGAUAGGACCUGGUUACUAUUUUGUUGGUUUGCAUAGCUAGGUAAUGAUUAACAGGGACAGUUGGGGGUAUUCGUAUUUAAUUGUCAGAGGUGAAAUUCUUGGAUUUAUGAAAGACGAACGACUGCGAAAGCAUUUACCAAGGAUGUAUUCAUUAA